AUGGCAGGUCCGCGUCGCCCCGCUCUAACUUCCGCUGAAGCCCCUCGACCGUGCUCGGUCCCGGCGCGCCCGACUGCCCGUCCGGCCGGCUCCGGGUUCCCCACCCCAGCGGCCGGGAAGCCGCCCUGCGCCCCGUUGCCGUCUCCACCAACCGCGCCCAUCGGCGCCUCCGCACGCCCCGUGCCGACUCCCGCUCGCCCCGCGCGUCUGCGUGCCUUCUCCGGAUCUGCCCCGGGCCCCACACGUCGUCUCCGCGCCGGCUACGUGCCUCCGUCCGGUUCCGCGUGCAGCACCGGCUCCGUCCGCAUCCCGGCCGGCUCCGGUCCCGCUCGUGCCUCGCAGCACCACCAAUUCGGCUGCCUCCAGAGGCACGCCGGCCUCCUCUGCUCGUCGUCUCUACCCCGACCAGCUGCUCCGGCCUCGUCUUCAACCCGGCCCGCCGCCUCCGCUCCCGCGCCGCGUCCCUGCCGCCGGCUGCUGCCGCGACCCGGCCUCCUGCGCUGGGCGGCUCCGCCCAGCGACCCGGCCUGCCGGCUCCCCCGCAACACGGACGACCGGCUCCGCCGCCUGCCGUCUCCGCCGCAACCUGGCCGCCGGCUUCACCGCGACCCGGCCGCCGGCUGCCGCCGUCCCGCUCCUGCCGACUGCUCAGGCAGUGAAAAAGAUGCCGACUGCAGAAAAGAUGAAGAAAGAAGCAAAAAAAAGGGAGGGCGGGUGAGAGAAAACUCAGGGGCCGGCUGCCCAGGCCGGCUGAGAAAGAAGUGGCCGAGUCCUAAAAAAAAGGAGAGAAAAGAAGAGGCCGACUGCCAGCUAAAAAAGUCAAAGGUCGGAUGCUUGAGGCCGGCUGGAGUGUGUCCGACUGCACACAGCCGACUGAAAAAAAAGAAGGAAAGAAAGAGGUCGGCUGGGACAAAGAAAAGGAAAAACUCCGUCUAUCCGUCUGCCUGCUUCGUCACUCGGACGGCUGGACGCGACCUGGCCUGCCUGUCCGCCUCGACGCCUGGCUGGUCGAGCCUCGGCCCGAAUCUCGGGGGCUACACCCAGCGGGUGCGCUGA
rnacentral:rRNA from 1 species